rnacentral:rRNA from 1 species
UACAGAGGAGCCAAGCGUCGUCCGGAUUGACUGGGCGUAAAGCGCACGCAGGCGGACGCGCGCGUGGGGUGUGAAAUCUGGCCGCUUAACGGCCAGGCGCCAUCCCAUACGGCGCGUCUGGAGCCUUGCAGAGGUCGGUGGAAUUGCCGGUGUAGUGGUGAAAUGCGUAGAGAUCAGGAAGAACAUCGGUGGCGAAGGCGCUCUGCUGGACCAUAACUGACACUCAGGGACGAAAGCUAGGGGAGCGAAUGGG